rnacentral:lncRNA from 1 species
UUUAACUGCAGGGCCCUGUCUCCUAUAGCUCCCAAUUUCCACGUAUGAUCAAGACCGCUCUGGGGUAGAAUUAUAAUCACUCCCUACCCAAGUGAGUGAUCCGAGAGGAUGGGUAUAUGCUUCCAGUUACUUGCUUAUUCGGUCAACAAAACAUACGAAGCACCAGGCACCAUAUGGAGCUGGAAUACAUCAGUAACCAAGACUCACAGCUUCCAGUCUCCAGAGCUCUCCAGUGAGUGGAAAUAAGACAGCUUUCACUCGACAGGUCCACACUGCCGUUAUGAGCUGUCGCACUCACGUGCGCGAAAGUCUGCAGCUUCAUUCCUGAAGCCAGCGAGACCACGAACCCACCGUGAAGAACAAGCAACUCCAGACGCGUGGCAUCAAGAGCUGGAACACUCACCGCGAAGGUCUGCCACUUCACUCCUGAGCCAGCGAGACCACGAACCCACCAGAAGGAAGAAACUCCGAACAUAUCAGAGCGAACAAAUUCCAGACACGCCGCCUUUAAGAACUGUAACACUCACUGCAAGGGUCCGCGGCUUCAUUCUUGAAGUCAGUGAGACCAAGAACCCGCGAAUUCUGGACACAAUCCCAACUACUUGGGAGGCUGAGGCAGAAGAAUCGCUUGAACCCAGGAGCGGGAGAUUGCAGUGAGCCGAGAUUGUGCCACUGCACCCCAGCCUGGGCAACAGAGCAGGACUCCAUCUCAAAAAAUAAUGAUAAUAUGUUUUGGGAGGGUGAGGCUUGUGGAUAUCUUGAGCCCAGGAGUUCAAGACCAGUUUGGGCAACAUCAUGUCUCUACAAAAAAUAUAAAAAUUAGGCGUGGUGGCAUGUACCUGUAGUCCCAGCUACUCAGAAGGCUGAGGUGGGAGGAUGCUUGAGGCCAGGAGGAGGAGGUUUCAGUAAGCCGAGAUCGUGCCACUACACUCCAGCUUGGGCUGAAAAAGGUAAUGUAUUCACGAGACAUCGGUUUUAAAGGCACAAAAGGCUAGUGUUUCAGAAAGACUCAAGCCAUGUUUUUCUCUGCUCUCACACCAAUACAGCAACAAUCAACAUAAGACUUCUGUGACCCCAAAAUAUAUGGGGGUUUCUCCCCACCAGCAAGCAAGCAAUAAGCAAUCAAUUCUGCAGCAGAUGCCGUCUGGGUGUCCUCCAAUUCAAUUCUGACACCAUCUACCUGGAGCUAGCAUCAGAUCCCACAGGUAGCCACCCCCGUUCUCACACCAGUCGCCAAGUCCGGGCCUCCGGAGCUUCUGGCUUCAAGUUGGGGUUCCCACAACCUCUGCCCUGGGUUUAAUUUACUGGCGUGGCUCACAGAACUCAGAAAAACCUGUACAUUUGCCAGUUUACUAUGAAGGAUAUUAUGAAGGAGACAAUGAAGAGACGCAUCGGCGCGGUAUUGGGGUAGGGGUGCAGAGCUUCAUGCCCUGCUGGCACACCACCCUCCAGGAGCCCCCAUGCACCCAGUCAUCCAGAAGCCCUCCCAAGCCUGUCUUCUUGGGUCUCUAUGGAGGCUUCUUUAUGUCAGCAUUUCUGCCCCCAGGGUAUGGGGUGGAGCCUUCUCUGGAAUAAGGGUCUUAUGACCCAAGAUCAGAUUAGGGUCCUGCCUUGGGCAGGUGAAAGGAGGCAGGAAAAGGUCAGAGAGAUUCUGUUUCCCGAGGUCUAACACUCGCAACGUUCUUUUUUUAGUUAUUCUUUUUAUUUAUUUUUUACCUUUUCAGUGGUGCUGACACUCCCAACAUUGUAACAAAAGACUAACAAGGGCUCUGGGAGUUAUGAGAUAGGAACCAUGGAUCACACACACACACAGCCAUGGAUAACAUGGCUAAACCCCAUCUGUACAAAAAAAAAAAAAAAAUUAGCUGGGUGUGAUGGUGCACCUGUAGUCCCAGCUACUCGGGCGGCUGAGGUGGGAGAAUCCCCUGAGCCCUGGAGGUCAGGGCUGCAGUGGGCCAAGAUCGCACCACUGCACUCCAGCCUGGGCAUGGGAGUAAGAUUCUGUCUCAAAAAAACAAAGCAAAACAAAACAAAACGUAUUCUCAUCACACCAUAGCUAGUCAGUGAAAAGCCAGUCUUCCCCCAACUCUUGUCCCCCAGCUCACCUCUCCAGAAGGACCACUCCUAGUAGUUUCUUGGGUAUGCCCUCCAGAGACAGUCCUCACAAAUAUAUGAAAACACAUACAUAAUAUUCUGCACUUUGCUUUUCACAUAACACUGGGGUGGAGAUCUUUCCAUAUUAUAGCACAGAGGUUCCUCACUGUUCCUGGCUGUGUCAGCCACUGAGGUACACUGGGGUGGUAGGGUGGUGAACCCCAACUCCAAGGGGACAGAAGCUCUUGCACUUGGGACCCUUCCAGACCUUGCCCUAUGCACCUCUUCAUAGGGUGUUCAUCUGUAUCCUUUAUAAUCUCAACCCUAAUUAAUGACAUUGAGAAAUUAUGAUUGGGCCAGGCACGGUGGCCUGUAAUCCCAGUACUUUGGGAGGCCGAGGCAGGGAGAUCACCUGAGAUCAGGAGUUCAAGACUAGCCUGACCAACAUGGUGAAACCUCUUCUCUACUAAAAAUACAAAAAUUAGCUGGGUGUGGUCGCACAUGCCUGUAAUUCCAGCUACUGGGGAGGCUGAGGCAUGAGAAUCUCUUGAGCCUGGGAAGUGGAGGUUGCAGUGAGCCGAGAUUAUACCAUUGCACUCCAGCCUGGGUGAUAGAGUGAGACUCUGUCUCAAAAAAAGAAAAAAAAUUAUGGUUGAAUUAAGACUCUACUCCAGGCCAGGCGUGGUGGCUCACACCUAUAAUCCCAGCAUUUUGGGAGGCCAAGGCAGGCGGAUCAUGAGGUCAGGAGUUUGGGACCAGCUUGGCCAACAUGGUGAAACCCUGUCUUUUACUAAAAAUACAAAAAUUAGCUGGACAUGGUGGCGCGCGCCUGUAGUCCCAGCUACCUGGGAGACUGAGGCAGAAGAAUCACUUGAACCCGGGAGGUAGAGGUUGCAGUAAGCCAAGAUCACACCACUGCACUCCAGCCUGGCGACAGAGUGAGAUUCUGUCUCAAAAGAAAAAAAAAAAAAGUUUACUCCAGCUCAAAGCUUGAGGCCGUCCACCUGGGGAACACUGACUUCAGAAGAAUGAAUGGGUCAGGUCAGCUUCCAAAGUGGAGAAGGGAAGGUUUUGUUUACAUACGCAGUUCACAGGAUUGCAACAUUUUCCAUGCAAGGUCAGUACAUAUGCUUUAGCAAUUUGAUUGGUUAUGGCUUGUCACAUUCCAAGGAAGAUUGCUUUAAUAUUCUGUGAGGAGGGGUGCUGAUUCAAAGGGAUCUAUUUCUGGAGCCACAGUGCUUUUUCUAAUCAUUUAUAGGAAAAGGCAGAGGCUGUUGAAGCUGCUACCUGACUCAGGCCACAUAGCCACAUUCCUCUCAAGGCUCAAAAUAGUUUUGGCUGGGUGCCGUGCCUCACCCUGUAAUCCCAAUGCUUUUGGAGGCCAAGGUGGGAGGAUAGCUUGAGCCCAGGAGUUCAAGGUUGCAGUGAGCUAUGAUCACACCUCUGCAUUCCAGCCUGGGCAACAGAGUGAGACCCUGUCUCUAUAAUAAUAAUAAUUCAAAGUUCCAAUAGCUUUAAGUUUGAAUUAUUUAAUUUCAUAAUAAUAAACCAGCAUAUAUAAAGUGUUUCAUUGAGUUUGUUUGUUUUAGAGAUGGGGUCUCACUAUGUUGCCCAGGUUGGAGUGCAGUGGUUAUUCACAGGCAUGGUCAUGCACAAUGACUGUAGUCUCAAACUCCUAGGCUCGAGUGAUCCUCCCACACCUUCUCUGUUACCUAUGACUACAGGCAUGUGCCCCCAUGCCUGCCUGCCUGCCUGGCUCUAUUUCCUUAAGUUUUUUUUUUUUUUUUUUUUUUUGAGAAGGAGUCUUGCUGUGUCACCCAGGCUGGAGUUCAGUGCUGCAAUCUCAGCUACUGCAGCUUCCACCUCCUGGGUUCAAGCGAUUCUCGUGCCUCAGCCUCUCAAGUAGCUGGGAUUACACGUGUGCACCACCAUGCCUGGAUAAUUUUUGUAUUUUUUGUAGAGACGGCAUUUUGCCACGUUGGCCAGGCUGGUCUCGAACUCCUGACCUCAAGUGGUCCACCUGCCUCGGCCUCCCAAAGUGCUGAGAUUAUAGGCAUGAGCCACCGCACCUGGCCCUAUUUCCUUAAGUUAUAUGAGUCAUUCUAGCCCAUAACUGAACCAGAGGAGGCGGUCUUGGAAACCUCCAGCUUACAGUCGCUCAGUCAGAAAUAUGUGAGGAUGGAUUUACAUUUGGCUUCUGAAAUGGGGGCAGUUUUGUGGGACUGAGCCUUUAAUUUGUGGAAUCUGAUGUUAAUUCCAGGUAGAUAGUGUCAGAAUUGAAUUGAAUUCUAGGACACUCAGUGUUGGUCAGAGUGGGGAAAAUUCGCACACAAGGUAUCAGAAGUGCUCUGUGUGAGUGUAGACAAACUGUUUUCACAAUGUGUGACCCAGGGAUGCUUCUGAAACUUCAUCACCCAUGGAUGUCUUUCAUUUAUAGAGCUUCCUUGGCACAGAAUUUAGGUAUCAGAUGCUGACUGGUGAUUGACUUGUGACUCUGAGCAAUGGCCAUGUUGAAUUCAUACCCUGAAAUCCGCGAUACUGAAGCCUACAAUUCAUCCUUUCAAUUUCCCAUAGUAAAAACUCAGGAGAAAAACAGCCUGAUUCUAAAUGGGGCAGCUCCGCUGGGAGUUGGUAGAUAGGACACCCAAACUGCAGAGAAAACCUGGAAUAAAGUGAAGCUCAUUUUAAGAACUCUUGAGUCCAAAACCUUAAAAACACAUGCACUUUUCAGCCCAGCAAUUCCACUUCUAGGACUUUUCCAGGGUGAUAAACCAGGGACUCAGAUAUUCCCCCAGGGUUGUUUCCAAUCACUCAAAUUGGAAAAAAACUCAGUGUCCACAGAAGGGGAGAAGGGGGGGUGCAGAACAGAGGCAAUGGGGUUGUGGUUAAGUAAAUGGAGAUGUAGCCCUGGGACUGGGUCCCCUAGGACGAGGGAAACAUGAGCAGGAAAUGGAUAAAUAGAAAGAUAAUCGAGUUUUAAGCCCCCAGAGAGAAGGCUGGUUACGAAAUAGUAUAUACGAUGUGAUUUUUUUUUUUUUUUUUUUUGAGAAAGAGUCUCUCUCUCUCACCCAGGCUGGAGUACAGUGGUGUGAUCUCAGC